AGAGGCUUAGGAUAGCAUUUAAACCAAGAGCCUUCAAAGCUCUAAACGGGAGUGGAAACCUCUCAGCCUCUG
rnacentral:tRNA from 1 species